UAAGGAAUAUUGGACAAUGGGCGAAAGCCUGAUCCAGCCAUCCCGCGUGCAGGAUGACGGCCCUAUGGGUUGUAAACUGCUUUUAUUAGGGAAGAACAGCCGAGAUUUAUCUUGGUAUGACGGUACCUAAGGAAUAAGCACCGGCUAACUCCGUG
rnacentral:rRNA from 1 species